ensembl:lncRNA
GAAGUGGAAUUUGUUUAAUUUAUGAUUAACUUUAAUAAACUUUGAAAUUUGUAUUCACCGGAAAUUAAUGCUGAUUCCCUUUCCCUCAUGUGAGCAAACAUUCAUCAAUUAUGGACCAAAAAAAUAAGUUUACACCUGAAGGUAAACAUUGAUAAUUGACCGUUUUUUAUUCUAAAUUCUACUGCUGGCUGAUGCUGCUGGCUUUGUUUCAUCACAUACUCAUCUGAGACUCCUAACUCUAGAAGUUAGGAGUCCUAGUCCUGGGACAGUGGUUCUGUAGCAGCCCAGCUGCAACACAGGAAGAGUUCAGGUUAAGAGUUUCAUUCGAGGGCGCCAGCAGCUCAGGAGGUAGAGCAGGUCCUAUGGAGACUGGAAGGUUGCUGGUUGGAGCCCCUGCUCCUCCAGGCUCAGUGAUGAGGUCUCCCUGAGCAAGACCCCUGACCCAACCCUAACUGCUCCACCACAAGCUGGCU